GUCGGCGACCAUCGGUGGAGGAGAAAUUUUGUUUGUGCGUAUGGGUAAACCGUAAAUGACACACAAACGACGACAAACUAACUUCGUACGUGCGUGUGUCUCGUACGCGUGAAGGAACAAGGAAUCUCAUUUAUGAUACGGAAAACGUGACAAGACCCGAACAGUCCACGUGGAGUCUGUGAUAAAUUGCGGAAUUUUCCGGACGGAUUAACUGUCUGUCAACGCUGAGAAUUGUGCGAAGCAUCACCUCGUGGAUUUAGCGCGAGUUGGCGCGCGAUUUUUGUGUCUCAGCGCACGCGCUUCGGCCGCAAUACAAAAUUUGUAACAAUACCAAAGAAUACAAAAUAGCAUGCCAAAUCAAGGUCGGAUAUCCCUGAGCUACGUCUUUCUAUUAAGUGUCUUUCUGACCAGUUCAUUAUGGAUUGUUGUCGGAAAUCCCAUUCGAUUCAGGACGAAACGGGAAUCGGAAAUGGCGUCGACCAACUGGACAGAGUUGGCCGACGAGUGGAUCGCGGCGAAGGCGAGAGCCGCCGAAAAGAUGGACGUGGCUUUGUUGCCGUUCAAUGAACGAUUUCGGGAACUGCCGCCCACGGCGCAGACCUUUGUCGUCAACGGCACCAGUCCGGAAGAAUUGGAACGGUUAAAUUACUCCCGGAUGCUGUGGGACAUCGAAACGAUCCAACCGAACGGCCAUUUAUCGGGAUUCGUAGAUAAAGCGCUCAAGCUGUUGGAUUUAAGACAGGUGAUGAUGGAGGUCGAGACCUCCGUGAUGUCCAAGGUCUCUUGCACCGCCUGCAAAGUCGGCGCCGGAUUGCUGCAACAUUACAUAAAAGUCGGCAAGAGUGACGAGGAGAUAAUGACCAACAUCUAUCAGUUCUGCGUGUCGCUCAACAUUCAGAGUUCUCGAGUUUGCCACGGUGUCACCGUGCUGUUUGGAAGAGAAGUGAUCUACGUGUUGAAGCAGGUGAACAUGGGUCCGGCGCAGAUCUGUAGCUUCGUAAUCGGUGACGCGUGCGACGACGCGUUCAAUCCGUUACAUGAAUGGGAAGUGGCUUUUCCGCCUGUGAAGAAGCCGCCGAUCAGACCGCCAAUACCGCCGCAGGAAGGUGCGCCGACCUUCAAGGUGCUGCAUAUCUCGGACACCCAUUUCGAUCCGUAUUAUCAAGAGGGAGCGAACGCGGAGUGCAACGAGCCGCUCUGCUGUCGUCUGACAAACGGGGCACCGUUGACAGCGUCGGGAGCCGCGGGAAGAUGGGGCGACUACAGAAAGUGCGACACACCCAAGCGAACGAUCGAUCACAUGCUCAAACACAUCACCGAUACACAUUCAGACAUCGAUUACAUUUUGUGGACUGGCGAUUUACCGCCUCACGACGUGUGGAAUCAAACCCGGGAAGAAAAUUUAAAAGUUUUGCGCGACACGGUCGAUCAGAUGGUGGAGAUGUUUCCGGGCAUUCCGAUUUUUCCGGCGUUGGGCAAUCACGAAAGUGCCCCCGUCAACAGUUUUCCACCGCCUUUCGUACCAGAAGAAAGCAGUAUCUCGUGGCUGUACGACGAACUCGACAAACAUUGGCGACGGUGGUUGCCGGCCGGUGUGUCGCACACCGUUCGUCGUGGCGCCUUCUACUCGGUCCUGGUCCGGCCGGGUUUCCGGAUACUCUCCGUCAAUAUGAACUAUUGCAACAACAAGAACUGGUGGCUUUUAAUAAAUAGCACCGAUCCGGUGAGCGAGCUGCAGUGGCUCGUGUACGAAUUGCAAGGCGCUGAAAUAAACGGCGAGAAGGUGCAUAUAAUCGGCCACAUUCCGCCCGGCCAUUCGGAUUGUUUGAAAAUUUGGUCCAGGAAUUACUAUCACAUCAUCAAUCGAUAUGAGUCAACGAUCACCGCCCAGUUCUUCGGGCACACGCAUUACGACGAGUUCCAGAUGUUCUAUGAUACAACGGACCUCGGUCGGGCGCUCAGCAUCGCCUACGUUGGUCCUUCGGUCUCGCCUUACUAUGAUCUCAACCCCGGCUAUCGCAUAUAUUACGUCGACGGAGACCACCCCAAGACCACAAGAAUGGUCGUCGAUCACGAAACUUGGGUAAUGAAUCUCAAAGAGGCAAAUUUGUACGACUAUCCAAUCUGGCAUAAGAUGUACAGCGCGCGACAAGCCUAUCAAAUGGCAUCGCUUCUGCCGAAGGACUGGGAUUCUCUGAUUGAUAAAAUGACCAACGAGCCAGCUCUUUUUGAUCUCUAUUACAAACACUAUUAUAAGAAUUCUCCAGUGCGACCAGCGUGCAACGACGAGUGUCGCAAGAGAUUGCUGUGUGAUUUGCGUAGCGGAAGAAGCCACGACCGAAAAGCAUUGUGCCAGAGUUUGGAGGCGAGAAUCGACGAUGAAACUAGGACAGGUUGGCGAGCGUGGAUCUACAAGGGACUUGCAUUGUCGUACGUACACCAGCUAUGGCUCGAACUUUAUUCCGGCGAUACUCAGACUAACGAAGUCAAAAGCCUAAUCUAAUCAACUGCUUUAAUCAGACACACAAGUCAAAUCUGUACCUUAUGCUCUGUAAUCUAUUUGUUGCUUAACUCCUUUUCUUAUUUUUCUUUGAAAACUGUGUUUUCUAAAGAGGUUAUAGAAUACAUCUACAAUUGACAGAAGAAAGAGUCUGCUUUCUGUUAAUUUCUAACAGUAACUUUAAGAGAGAACAAUUUUAACAAAAUAAAACAGUAAAAAGCUAUAUGAUGAUUUAUGGUAAUCAGCGUUAAUUAUAAAUUUUAAUUUAAAUCGCAAUUUAGCUUAACAAAAAUCUUCUAAGAAGUUGUAAUGUUGAUGGUUUUGAAAUGUUAAUGGCAAACGCAAGUAACCUGGUUUGGUCACACAUGACGAUUGUGUAAAGCGUGUUAACAAUCAAAUAAAUAAAAUAUCAACAAAUCAAAGUACAUGACGACAUUUUGGUCGUAAGUUUGAACGGAUUAAUCAAUCGAUUUUGAAUAUAACAAUGAGUAUAAUGCAAUAUUUAGACAUUAAGCAUAAUAUAAAUAUUUUAUAUAAUGUGAAUAAGAAUUUAAUUGACUGUGCCACUAGCAGCACGAAAGUUUAUUUUUUCAAGAGUUAUUUACAGGCUUGAAAAAUAACUUCGACAAUCUCAAUUCUAUAUUCAAUACCAUAUAAGAAUGUUUGUUAGAUUGCUUCACAUGUAGAUGCGCAUGUGUGUAUGUAUGUGUAUGCAAAAACGCUCGAAUGAGUCUUUUAUAACCGACUAAAAAAUGCGUGCGAAAAAUUAACGUAACAUAUUUUCUACGAGAAACGCAAAUCUCUUUCAUGUACAAAAACGAAAAACAGACGCAACGAUAAACAACUUUCUCAUGUGUGUUUCAGAAGUUUCUUCGCGAACCAAAUCGCAAAAUCAUAGUUCAACACGCACAGUCGCAUCUUGCGUGAAGUUUGAAACAUGUACAUACACGCUCCUUCGAGUGUAUCAUGAAUGUAAAAAUAAAAAUGUAAGAGAAAGACGUGUGUUAAAAAUAUGACAUUAAUAAUCUUGCCGUACAAAUGCGUGCCUUUGUAUUGAUUGAAAUAUAAGUUGUACAUAUGUUCUUUUUUAAUACACACAUAAAUUUUAUCAAUAAAACAAAUCACAAAUACAAACCUGUGUGGUGUUGGGAUUUAACCAUUCGAACUUGUUGGCUUAAGCGCGAAAGCGCGCGAUGACGAAUCACACUCGCGUUGCUGUUUCGCAGAAUGCACAAAAAUAUGUGUAAAAAGUUUUACUUACAGAGAUACGCUUAACCUCAUGAGCGCAAUAGGUACAUAUAUAUAAACCAGCUUUAUCUCGUUAAAGCGCCAAAUAAUCUGUACAUAUACGCGAAAUCCAUAAUUUUAUUUGGUGUCGGAUCAGUAACAGCUGAUGCUUGAUAUUUCUGUCUUCACGCACCGGCAAACUAAAAUGUCCGUGGUGAUGGCCAUCCCCAGAUUUGCGUACAAUCUACCAAAAUACGUUCUAGGUCUGGGCUAGAAGAACGAGAAAACCGGAUGUGUGAUGCAAAUACGUGUGACUUAUAUCUUGUGAUGUUAAAUUACUAGAAAUAAUUUACGACGCGACGUCGCGCGUCGCGUCCGACACGCGAACUUCGUUGCCGAUGACGAUCGACGAUUGUGCUCGUCGAAAUUGCGUAUCGUAUCUGAUUUGCGUGUGUGCGCUUCCGUAAAAUAAUUCGACACAACAAAUAAUCGUUCAAGAUCGAACACGGUAAAUCUAAAUACACCACUACGUCAUGUGUGUAUUUACACAAAAGUGUAUCGUUCGCAUUAAAAGAUAAUCGCGCGAUACUUUCUUUUCCCAACGAAAAAUCGCGUGCUUCGAGUCAACAAUUGGAAUUCGGUGUGUAAUUUCCGUGAGUUUUAGUUUCCGAUGAGAGAAAGCUACGUGAAAGAAGACGUUCUUAUGUCAAUUGUUUUUUCGCAUUUUAUUUAUACAUAUGAAGAUCACAGAAGAAGAACUUGAUACUAAGUCAAUUUUUUUCGAUUUUCUGUUUCUGAUGUUAUUUGGUAGUUAAAAUAGAGUAUUUUUUAAUUAUCCAAAGCGAGAAAGGGAAAUUCUUGAUAGGUUCCGAGAUAGAAAUAUUUUUAUAAAACGUGUAACACACAGAAAUACAUAUACGUUUCGAACUUUAAAAUCGCUCUUCUCUAAAAUUACGAAAAUGUGACUUACCAAAUUCUUCUUCUGUAACCUUCCUGUGUUUCAACAAAUAUAAAAAUGACGUACUAUAUAUCGCGUGUUUACUCAAAUCCGAGCUCAUCCGAAAUUAUAUAUUACGUAACCGACAUUCAAUUACUAUUUAUUUUAACUUCUCUUCAAUAACAAACGUGUAUGUGUGUGUGCGCGCGCGAUUUUGUGUGUGUGUAAAAUAUGUAAAUAUAUGAAAAUAUUGUAAAGUGAAUAUCUCCCCCUCUUGUUAGUCAUUAACUGACGAAAUAUCUCAUCAAUUAAAUUAAAUGUCUCGUCAAAAAAACGGUUUAUAUUUUUUUUCCACGGUGUCAUCUGCGCACAAUUAAGACGCUCUGUAUAAUUUAUAUACGUAUAUAUACCCCACAUUUACCGUUCUUAAUUAUCAACUUAUCAAUUAAUUAAACAUACGUUAAUUAAAUAUAACGUUGCGUGACUCUCGUGUGAUAUGUUUAGAUCGGACAGGUCACUUUUAAUGCUAAAUGUGAGGUAUGUCAAUGUGGGAUUCCGUAUAAUGUCUGCGAUAAAGCAAAAUUUAUAUAAAUAUAUUGAAAAGUAGCGAUUGUUUUCCAAGUGUGUUCCUAGCACUUCAAUUAACAUCUGCGAUUUAAUCCUGGAAUGCGUAUUACUUAUUAUUAUUGACUAUUCUACGUUUGUUAAAACCAUGUUACAUUACAUGUAUAAAGUGAAGUUUGUUAUCGGAUCAAACAAACGUAAAAAAAUUGAGAAGAAAUGCUGAAUAAACUUGUUUAUUUUUGCGUUGA